rnacentral:rRNA from 1 species
GAGGGGCCCGCGUCGGAUUAGCUGGUUGGUGGGGUAACGGCCCACCAAGGCGAUGAUCCGUAGCUGGUCUGAGAGGAUGAUCAGCCACACUGGGACUGAGACACGGCCCAGACUCCUACGGGAGGCAGCAGUGGGGAAUAUUGGACAAUGGGCGCAAGCCUGAUCCAGCAAUGCCGCGUGAGUGAUGAAGGCCUUCGGGUUGUAAAGCUCUUUCGCCCGCGACGAUGAUGACGGUAGCGGGAGAAGAAGCCCCGGCUAGCUUCGUGCCAGCAGCCGCGGUAAUACGAAGGGGGCGAGCGUUGUUCGGAUUUACUGGGCGUAAAGGGCGCGUAGGCGGCGGGUCAAGUCGAGUGUGAAAGCCCCGGGCUCAACCUGGGAAUUGCGCUCGAGACUGGCCGGCUUGAGUUCGGGAGAGGAGCGUGGAAUUCCCAGUGUAGAGGUGAAAUUCGUAGAUAUUGGGAAG